rnacentral:lncRNA from 1 species
GCCCUUUAGGGGAGAGAAGAGUGUGGAGGGAGGAAUCGGGGAAGCCCAGUGCCGUACUGAUGCUCUGGACUUUGUUUUUGGAGGUAGCCUGUGAUGCAGGGCAGAAAAGAGCUGAUGCCUUGGAGAGAGACUGGGAGAGGCUGGAGUUAAUAGAGGUGCCCACGCACCCAAAGGGCCAGCUCCUGCAUUUUUUCACUUCACCGAUGCCAAAGCCACUUUGCCCACCUUUGCAGCAGACGCAGGGAAUUAACUAUCUCAAGAAGUGGCCCUUAGUUAUUAACUGAUGGCAGCUGGUCCCAGGGUAUCCAAGAAGCUGUCAUCCAGGUCUUCUCCAAUGAAGCUACAACAACCCACAGAGCCAGCAGGGGAACCUACACCUUCGAUGUCAUAUAUGAGCAAACAGUCAUUAGAUGGGCGUCCUUCAUCUUCAUCUGCAUGGACUUAUUUAUAAUUGUGUACUUUGGACAUAAAACCAUACACAAAAAAAUCACAUGAAUUGGUUUCGAGGAGGAGCCAAGAUGGCCGAAUAGGAACAGCUCUGGUCUACAGCUCCCAGCGUGAGCGACGCAGAAGACGGGUGAUUUCUGCAUUUCCAUCUGAGAUGGAGUGAAUAUGAUGAUUCUGUGAAGGUUUAUUGCAACAUGACUUUUUCAGCACAGCAACAGGAAAAUUUGACUCUGGGUCUGUUCUACAAAAUUAAAGCUUUCUCAGCACAAAAAACAGCAUAGACUGUGAGUGAUGGCGGCCAUCUUGGUUCAUGUGUAAAGACUGAAUUUCAGUGACUACCAACGGCUAUUUCUUAGAAUGUGGCACUUACCCUGGGUUCAGGCUGUGGUCCUUCUACUGCCCAUGAAUGAAUUGCUCCAUCUGAACAUUCGGGAACAGGCUCAAAGCCAGCUGCACUACGAGGAGCACCUCCACAAUCACAACAGAUCAUCAAAAAUGGGACCACUGGUGGUGGAGGGAUAGUAAUACUAGAGUUAGCACUGGGUGCAAAUAAAAAACAAAACAACCUGAUUUUUUAUGGUUAAAU